UAGUCCACGCCCUAAACGAUGUUUACUAGUUGUUGGGGUCUUGUACCUCAGUGAUUAAGAGAAAUUGAUAAGUGACCCACCUGGGGAGUACGAUCGCAAGAUUGAAACUCAAAGGAAUUGACGGGGGCCCGCACAAGCGGUGGAGCAUGUGGUUUAAUUCGAGGCAACGCGAAGAACCUUACCAGCCCUUGACAUCCUGAUUUUGGAUAGCAGAGAUGCUUUCCUUCGGUUCGGCCGGAUCAGUGACAGGUGCUGCAUGACUGUCGUCAGCUCGUGUCGUGAGAUGUUGGGUUAAGUCCCGCAACGAGCGCAACCCUCGCCCUUAUUUGCCAGCGGUUCGGCCGGGAACUAUAAGGGAACUGCCGGUGACAAACCGGAGGAAGGUGGGGAUGACGUCAAGUCUUCAUGGCCCUUAUGGGCUGGGCUACACACGUGCUACAAUGGUGGUGACAGCGGGCAGCUACUCCGCGAGGAGAUGCUAAUCCCACAAAAACCAUCUCAGUUCGGAUUG
rnacentral:rRNA from 1 species